rnacentral:snoRNA from 1 species
CCCCUGGAUAAUGAUGAGAUGGUCGCGUACAUUGUAAAUGGGUUAGAUGAAGAUUACAACCCAGUAGUUUCUGCUCUUGUAACUAGGGUAGAACCAAUCUCUGUAUCUGAAUUGUAUGCCCAGCUUUUGAACUUUGAAA